rnacentral:rRNA from 1 species
GGGUUGUGAGGUUAAGCGACUAAGCGUACACGGUGGAUGCCCUGGCAGUCAGAGGCGAUGAAGGACGUGCUAAUCUGCGAUAAGCGUCGGUGAGGUGAUAUGAACCGUUAUAACCGGCGAUUUCCGAAUGGGGAAACCCAGUGUGUUUCGACACACUAUCAUUAACUGAAUCCAUAGGUUAAUGAGGCGAACCGGGGGAACUGAAACAUCUAAGUACCCCGAGGAAAAGAAAUCAACCGAGAUUCCCCCAGUAGCGGCGAGCGAACGGGGAGGAGCCCAGAGCCUGAAUCAGUGUGUGUGUUAGUGGAAGCGUCUGGAAAGGCGCGCGAUACAGGGUGACAGCCCCGUACACAAAAAUGCACAUAUUGUGAGCUCGAUGAGUAGGGCGGGACACGUGGUAUCCUGUCUGAAUAUGGGGGGACCAUCCUCCAAGGCUAAAUACUCCUGACUGACCGAUAGUGAACCAGUACCGUGAGGGAAAGGCGAAAAGAACCCCGGCGAGGGGAGUGAAAAAGAACCUGAAACCGUGUACGUACAAGCAGUGGGAGCCUCUUUAUGGGGUGACUGCGUACCUUUUGUAUAAUGGGUCAGCGACUUAUAUUCUGUAGCAAGGUUAACCGAAUAGGGGAGCCGAAGGGAAACCGAGUCUUAACUGGGCGUUAAGUUGCAGGGUAUAGACCCGAUGUGUAUAAGAGACAGGUAUAGACCCGAAACCCGGUGAUCUAGCCAUGGGCAGGUUGAAGGUUGGGUAACACUAACUGGAGGACCGAACCGACUAAUGUUGAAAAAUUAGCGGAUGACUUGUGGCUGGGGGUGAAAGGCCAAUCAAACCGGGAGAUAGCUGGUUCUCCCCGAAAGCUAUUUAGGUAGCGCCUCGUGAAUUCAUCUCCGGGGGUAGAGCACUGUUUCGGCAAGGGGGUCAUCCCGACUUACCAACCCGAUGCAAACUGCGAAUACCGGAGAAUGUUAUCACGGGAGACACACGGCGGGUGCUAACGUCCGUCGUGAAGAGGGAAACAACCCAGACCGCCAGCUAAGGUCCCAAAGUCAUGGUUAAGUGGGAAACGAUGUGGGAAGGCCCAGACAGCCAGGAUGUUGGCUUAGAAGCAGCCAUCAUUUAAAGAAAGCGUAAUAGCUCACUGGUCGAGUCGGCCUGCGCGGAAGAUGUAACGGGGCUAAACCAUGCACCGAAGCUGCGGCAGCGACACUAUGUGUUGUUGGGUAGGGGAGCGUUCUGUAAGCCUGUGAAGGUGGCCUGUGAGGGUUGCUGGAGGUAUCAGAAGUGCGAAUGCUGACAUAAGUAACGAUAAAGCGGGUGAAAAGCCCGCUCGCCGGAAGACCAAGGGUUCCUGUCCAACGUUAAUCGGGGCAGGGUGAGUCGACCCCUAAGGCGAGGCCGAAAGGCGUAGUCGAUGGGAAACAGGUUAAUAUUCCUGUACUUGGUGUUACUGCGAAGGGGGGACGGAGAAGGCUAUGUUGGCCGGGCGACGGUUGUCCCGGUUUAAGCGUGUAGGCUGGUUUUCCAGGCAAAUCCGGAAAACCAAGGCUGAGGCGUGAUGACGAGGCACUACGGUGCUGAAGCGACAAAUGCCCUGCUUCCAGGAAAAGCCUCUAAGCAUCAGGUAACAUCAAAUCGUACCCCAAACCGACACAGGUGGUCAGGUAGAGAAUACCAAGGCGCUUGAGAGAACUCGGGUGAAGGAACUAGGCAAAAUGGUGCCGUAACUUCGGGAGAAGGCACGCUGAUAUGUAGGUGAAGCGACUUGCUCGUGGAGCUGAAAUCAGUCGAAGAUACCAGCUGGCUGCAACUGUUUAUUAAAAACACAGCACUGUGCAAACACGAAAGUGGACGUAUACGGUGUGACGCCUGCCCGGUGCCGGAAGGUUAAUUGAUGGGGUUAGCGGUAACGCGAAGCUCUUGAUCGAAGCCCCGGUAAACGGCGGCCGUAACUAUAACGGUCCUAAGGUAGCGAAAUUCCUUGUCGGGUAAGUUCCGACCUGCACGAAUGGCGUAAUGAUGGCCAGGCUGUCUCCACCCGAGACUCAGUGAAAUUGAACUCGCUGUGAAGAUGCAGUGUACCCGCGGCAAGACGGAAAGACCCCGUGAACCUUUACUAUAGCUUGACACUGAACAUUGAGCCUUGAUGUGUAGGAUAGGUGGGAGGCUUUGAAGUGUGGACGCCAGUCUGCAUGGAGCCGACCUUGAAAUACCACCCUUUAAUGUUUGAUGUUCUAACGUUGGCCCGUAAUCCGGGUUGCGGACAGUGUCUGGUGGGUAGUUUGACUGGGGCGGUCUCCUCCUAAAGAGUAACGGAGGAGCACGAAGGUUGGCUAAUCCUGGUCGGACAUCAGGAGGUUAGUGCAAUGGCAUAAGCCAGCUUGACUGCGAGCGUGACGGCGCGAGCAGGUGCGAAAGCAGGUCAUAGUGAUCCGGUGGUUCUGAAUGGAAGGGCCAUCGCUCAACGGAUAAAAGGUACUCCGGGGAUAACAGGCUGAUACCGCCCAAGAGUUCAUAUCGACGGCGGUGUUUGGCACCUCGAUGUCGGCUCAUCACAUCCUGGGGCUGAAGUAGGUCCCAAGGGUAUGGCUGUUCGCCAUUUAAAGUGGUACGCGAGCUGGGUUUAGAACGUCGUGAGACAGUUCGGUCCCUAUCUGCCGUGGGCGCUGGAGAACUGAGGGGGGCUGCUCCUAGUACGAGAGGACCGGAGUGGACGCAUCACUGGUGUUCGGGUUGUCAUGCCAAUGGCACUGCCCGGUAGCUAAAUGCGGAAGAGAUAAGUGCUGAAAGCAUCUAAGCACGAAACUUGCCCCGAGAUGAGUUCUCCCUGAGACUUAGAGUCUCCUGAAGGAACGUUGAAGACGACGACGUUGAUAGGCCGGGUGUGUAAGCGCAGCGAUGCGUUGAGCUAACCGGUACUAAUGAACCGUGAGGCUUAACCUUACAACGCCGAAG